rnacentral:lncRNA from 1 species
CCCCCCCCCACACACACACACUGAGCUGUGGAAUCAGCAUCCUAGAACGUGACCUUUUGAACAAGGUCCCCAGGUGAUCCUCCUGCACCCCAGUGAGCAAGGGCCCCAGUGAGGCGCAGACACAAAAACACCAUGAGCCACCUACAUGCUAGGGAGCUGUGUAUCCAGGGCAGCAGCAGGGCAACCAGCAGCAGAGUAUUGCUUUUCCAUCCCUCCAUCCUUUCAUUGGCCCCGGUCUUUACUCAGGUCAAUAGAAAGCCUUCGGGUGAGACUGUACAAAUUCAUUUCAGUGGGACCAAAUCUGAGUUUUGCUCUGUGUGUCUACUAUCUCACAGCCUGACCAUCAGGGUCACAAUAGAGCAUUGGGUGAAGCAGCCAUGGUCCAGACAAAGCAGCCAAGUGGCAUCCUGCCUCCAGGACCUGAUGAUUUCCAUGAGCCAAUCCUCUGGGAUGUGGAGGCUCCGGCAAAGGAGGGUAUAUUGACCAGCACUGUAUAAAGCAAGACCUACAUAAAGUACAUCUCCA